rnacentral:rRNA from 1 species
AAGCACUUUAAGCGGGGAGGAAGGCCUGAUGGCUAAUAUCCAUCGGGAUUGACGUUACCCGCAGAAUAAGCACCGGCAAACUUCGUGCCAGCAGCCGCGGUAAUACGAAGGGUGCGAGCGUUAAUCGGAAUUACUGGGCGUAAAGCGCGCGUAGGUGGUUAAGUAAGCGAUCUGUGAAAGCCCCGGGCUUAACCUGGGAACUGCAGGUCGAACUGCUUGGCUAGAGUAUGGUAGAGGGGUGUGGAAUUUCCUGUGUAGCGGUGAAAUGCGUAGAUAUAGGAAGGAACAUCAGUGGCGAAGGCGACACCCUGGACCGAUACUGACACUGAGGCGCGAAAGCGUGGGUAGCGAACAGGAUUAGAUACCCUGGUAGUCCACGCCGUAAACGAUGUCUGCUAGCCGUUGGGGGGCUUGUCCCUUCAGUGGCGGAGCUAACGCGAUAAGCAGACCGCCUGGGGAGUACGGCCGCAAGGUUAAAACUCAAAUGAAUUGACGGGGG